rnacentral:lncRNA from 1 species
AGAUCCCUACUCAACUCUAAUUCUGUUAUGUGAGUCUUCUCUUUCAUUUGAAGGUUAACUGUGCCAACAGAGUAUCAGUUGUCUGAACAUGGUCAUGGCAGGAUGUAAAGUGAAUAUGUAAAAAAAUUAAGUUAAAAAACAAACAAACAUGGAAUUGCGUGUGAGGAGAUUUCUGAGUGAGAAAACUAAGAAACGAAGACAAAAGUCUGGUGACCUGAGUUUCUUCAGAAACAAGGAAUUGUUCUUGGAUUAUGCUUUUGCGCCCCUUUCAGGUGUAGCACAAAAGAGUGAACUGUCUCUGAGGUAUUGAAAUCACCUCCUAUUACUGAAAUGGGAAUAAAUUUGUACCUUGACAUCUAAUACUUUGAUUUUUAUGAAACUGGAUGUAUCAGAGGUUGGUACGUACAUGUUUAGGAUUGUAAUGUCUUCUUUGUUAAUUGUUCUUUUGAUCAAAGUGAAGUGUCAUUCUAUAUCUCUUCUGAAUAAUUUUAGAUUGACAUUUAUAUUGUCAUGUAUUAGGAUAGCAGCAACUUUUUGUUUCUUGGUCCUAUUUGCUUGGACUAAUUUUUUUUCAUACUUCACUCUCAAGUAGCACCAAUCCUUGAAGUUAAGAUGAGG